UAAGCAUAUCAAUAAGCGGAGGAAAAGAAACUAACAAGGAUUCCCCUAGUAACUGCGAGUGAAGCGGGAAAAGCUCAAAUUUAAAAUCUGGCAGAUGUUUGUCUGUCCGAGUUGUAACCUAGAGAAGUGUAACCUGUGCUGGACCGUGUACAAGUCUCCUGGAAUGGAGCAUCAUAGAGGGUGAGAAUCCCGUCUUUGACAUGGACUACCAGUGCACUGUGGUUGCACACUCAACGAGUCGAGUUGUUUGGGAAUGCAGCUCUAAAUGGGUGGUAAAUUCCAUCUAAAGCUAAAUAUUGGCGAGAGACCGAUAGCGAACAAGUACCGUGAGGGAAAGAUGAAAAGAACUUUGGAAAGAGAGUUAAACAGUAUGUGAAAUUGUUGAAAGGGAAACGCUUGAAGUCAGCUGCAUUAGCUGGGGAUCAAGCCAGCUUUUUUGCUGGGUGUACUUCCUGGUUGAUGGGCCAACAUCAGUUUUGACCAUCAGAGAAAGGCUAAGGGAAUGUGGCACCUUUAUAGGUGUGUUAUAGCCCUUGGUUGUAUGUGAUGGAUGGGACUGAGGACAGCAGCGUGCCGCAAGGCCGGGUUUCGACCACGUUCACGCUUUGGAUGUUGGCAUAAUGGCUUUAAGCGACCCGU
rnacentral:rRNA from 1 species